UUAGAGUUUGAUCAUGGCUCAGGAUGAACGCUAGCUACAGGCUUAACACAUGCAAGUCGAGGGCAUCAGGAACAAAGCUUGCUUUGUUUGCUGGCGACCGGCGCACGGGUGAGUAACGCGAUCCGACCUACCCAUAACACGGGCACAGCCGCUCGAAAGAGUGAUUGAUUCCCGAUAUGUCUUGGAGUAGAUUCAAUGAUGAAAGAUUUAUCGGUUAUGGAUGGGGAUGCGUAAGAUUAGUAGUAGGCGGGGUAACGGCCCACCUAGCCGACGAUCUUUAGGGGUUCUGAGAGGAAGGUCCCCACACUGGUACUGAGACACGGACCAGACUCCUACGGGAGGCAGCAGUGAGGAAUAUUGUCAAUGGGCGGAAGCCUGAACCAGCCAAGUAGCGUGAAGGAUUACAGCCCUACGGGUUUUAACUUCUUUUAUAUAAGAGUAAUGUGCACUACGUGUAGUGUAUUGCAAGUAUUAUAUGAAAAGCAUCGGCUAACUCCGUGCCAGCAGCCGCGGUAAUACGGAGGAUGCGAGCGUUAUCCGAUUUAUUGGGUUUAAAGGGAGCG
rnacentral:rRNA from 1 species